CAAAAACCAGACCAAGACACGCCCCCACCUUAAGCUCCUACUUUGAUAGAAUCAGAACCUAUUUUGUAUCUCCUAUCACAGGGUGAGGCUGAAACCAACAUCGAGUCUAAAUAACAACAAAAGAACUACAAUAGAGAGAGCAAAGGUAACCAACUAUCAAACCCGAACUGCCGUCCAGUAAGCUUGAUUAAGAACCACACAACGAUCGGGCAUCUGGAAAUGGAAGAGAAUAACGAUAAGCACCGGAAGGUCUAGAUGGAAGAUAAAUUGUAUUAGAAGAAAUACUAUACUAACUCCCUCUGCCACCCUCGAAAAACAUAUCAUGACCAUCAAAGGAUUGAUUGUGUGCAAUAACUGACUAAGAUUAGCCCUACCUUAAGCCCUACUUUGAUAAAAUUAAAACUUAAUUUUUAUCUCAUGUCAUAGGGUGGGGCAGAAAACAAUAUCACGUCUAUGUACAAACAAAAAUUGUUGAAAUGACAAAAGAUAACCAAACAUCAAACCAGAAGUGUCAUCCAGUUAAGAACCACCCCACGAUCAGACAUCUGGAAAUUGAAGAGUAUAUCUAUAAGCACGGGAAACUCUAGGUAGAAGAGAAAAUGUAUAGAAAUAAAAAUACUAUUAUGUACUCCCUUUGCCACCCUCGAUUAACACAAUAUCAAUGACUCAUCAAAGAUCUGUCCGCGUCCAAAAACCAGACCAAGAUAGCCCCCACAUUAAGCUCCUACAGUGAUGGAAUCAAAACCUAUUUUGUAUCUCCUGUCACAGGGUAGGCCCAAAACAAUAUCCAAGUCUAUAUAACAACAAAAGAAUAUAAUAGAGAGAUCAAAUGCAACCAAUUAUGAACCCAGAACUGCCUUCCAGUUAAGCUUGAUUAAGAACCAAACAACGAUCAGGCAUCUGGAAAUCGAAGAGAAUAACAAUAAGCACGGGAAAGUCAAGAUGGAAGAUAAAUUGUAGCAGAAUUAAUACAAUACUAUACUCCCUCUGACACCCUCGAUAAACAUUAUAUCAGUGACAGCAUCAAAAGUUGAUGUCUCCAGUAACUAGACCAAGAUUAGCCCCACCAUAAGCUGCUUCUUUCACAACUUAAUUUUUAACUCCUGUCACAAGGUGAGGCAGAAAACAAUAUCCACGUCUACGUAACAAAUAAAAGAUUGUUGAAACUGACAAAAGAUAACCAAGCAUACCAGAAGUGCCUUCCAGUUAAGAACCACACAACAAUCAGACAUCUGGAAAUUGAAGAGUAUAACUAUUAGCACGGGAAACUCUAGGUAGAAGAGAAAAUGUAGGUAGAAAAAAAAUACUAUUAGUACUCCCUUUACCACCCACUAUUAACACUAUAUCAAUGACAGCAUGAAGGAUUUGUCAGUGUCCAAAAACCAGACCAAGACAGCCCCCACCUUAAGCUCCUACUUGAUAGAAUCAGAACCUAUUUUGUAUCUCCUAUCACAGGGUGAGGCUGAAACCAACAUCCGAGUCUAAAUAACAACAAAAGAACUACAAUAGAGAGAGCAAAGGUAACCAACUAUCAAACCCGAACUGCCGUCCAGUUAAGCUUGAUUAAGAACCACACAACGAUCGGGCAUCUGGAAAUGAAGAGAAUAACGAUAAGCACCGGAAGGUCUAGAUGGAAGAUAAAUUGUAUAGAAGAAAUACUAUACUAUACUCCCUCUGCCACCCUCGAUAAACACACUAUAUAGUGACCACGUCAAAGGAUUGACUUGUGUGCAAUAACUUGACUAAGAUUAGCCCUACCUUAAGCUCCUACUUGAUAAAAUUAAAACUUAAUUUUUAUCUCAUGUCAUAGGGUGGGGCAGAAAACAAUAUCCACGUCUAUGUAGCAAACAAAAUUGUUGAACUGACAAAAGAUAACCAAACAUCAAACAGAAGUGUCUCCAGUUAAGAACCACCCCACGAUCAGACAUCUGGAAAUUGAAGAGUAUAUCUAUAAGCACGGGAAACUCGAGGUAGAAGAGAAAAUGUAGUAGAAUAAAAAUACUAUUAUGUACUCCCUUUGCCACCCUCGAUUAACACAAUAUCAAUGACUACAUCAAAGAUCUGUCGCGUCCAAAAACCAGACCAAGAUAGCCCCCACAUUAAGCUCCUACAGUGAUGGAAUCAAAACCUAUUUUGUAUCUCCUGUCACAGGGUAGGCUCAAAACAAUAUCCAAGUCUAUAUAACAACAAAAGAAAUAUAAUAGAGAGAUCAAAUGCAACCAAUUAUGAACCCAGAACUGCCUUCCAGUUAAGCUUGAUUAAGAACCAAACAACGAUCAGGCAUCUGGAAAUCGAAGAGAAUAACAAUAAGCACGGGAAAGUCAAGAUGGAAGAUAAAUUGUAGCAGAAUUAAUACAAUACUAUACUCCCUCUGACACCCUCGAUAAACAUUAUAUCAGUGACAGCAUCAAAAGUUGAUAGUCUCCAUAACUAGACCAAGAUUAGCCCCACCAUAAGUGCUUCUUUCACAACUUAAUUUUUAACCCCUGUCACAAGGUGAGGCAGAAAACAAUAUCCACGUCUACGUAACAAAUAAAAGAUUGUUGAAACUGACAAAAGAUAACCAAGCAUACCAGAAGUGCCUUCCAGUUAAGAACCACACAACA
rnacentral:lncRNA from 1 species